rnacentral:rRNA from 1 species
ACAGUGAAACUGCGAAUGGCUCAUUAAAUCAGUUAUCGUUUAUUUGAUAGUACCUUACUACAUGGAUAACCGUGGUAAUUCUAGAGCUAAUACAUGCUAAAAACCCCGACUUCGGAAGGGGUGUAUUUAUUAGAUAAAAAACCAACGCCCUUCGGGGCUCCUUGGUGAUUCAUAAUAACUUAACGAAUCGCAUGGCCUUGAGCCGGCGAUGGUUCAUUCAAAUUUCUGCCCUAUCAACUUUCGAUGGUAGGAUAGUGGCCUACCAUGGUAUCAACGGGUAACGGGGAAUUAGGGUUCGAUUCCGGAGAGGGAGCCUGAGAAACGGCUACCACAUCCAAGGAAGGCAGCAGGCGCGCAAAUUACCCAAUCCCGACACGGGGAGGUAGUGACAAUAAAUACUGAUACAGGGCUCUUUUGGGUCUUGUAAUUGGAAUGAGUACAAUUUAAAUCCCUUAACGAGGAACAAUUGGAGGGCAAGUCUGGUGCCAGCAGCCGCGGUAAUUCCAGCUCCAAUAGCGUAUAUUAAAGUUGUUGCAGUUAAAAAGCUCGUAGUUGAACCUUGGGCCUGGCUGGCCGGUCCGCCUCACCGCGUGUACUGGUCCGGCCGGGCCUUUCCUUCUGGGGAUCCGCAUGCCCUUCACUGGGUGUGCCGGGGAACCAGGACUUUUACUUUGAAAAAAUUAGAGUGUUCAAAGCAGGCCUUUGCUCGAAUACAUUAGCAUGGAAUAAUAGAAUAGGACGUGCGGUUCUAUUUUGUUGGUUUCUAGGACCGCCGUAAUGAUUAAUAGGGAUAGUCGGGGGUGUCAGUAUUCAAUUGUCAGAGGUGAAAUUCUUGGAUUUAUUGAAGACUAACUACUGCGAAAGCAUUCACCAAGGAUGUUUUCAUUAAUCAGUGAACGAAAGUUAGGGGAUCGAAGACGAUCAGAUACCGUCGUAGUCUUAACCGUAAACUAUGCCGACUAGGGAUCGGGCGAUGUUAUCAUUUUGACUCGCUCGGCACCUUACGAGAAAUCAAAGUCU